CACAUGCAAGUCGAGCGGAUGAAGGGAGCUUGCUCCUGGAUUCAGCGGCGGACGGGUGAGUAAUGCCUAGGAAUCUGCCUGGUAGUGGGGGAUAACGUCCGGAAACGGGCGCUAAUACCGCAUACGUCCUGAGGGAGAAAGUGGGGGAUCUUCGGACCUCACGCUAUCAGAUGAGCCUAGGUCGGAUUAGCUAGUUGGUGGGGUAAAGGCCUACCAAGGCGACGAUCCGUAACUGGUCUGAGAGGAUGAUCAGUCACACUGGAACUGAGACACGGUCCAGACUCCUACGGGAGGCAGCAGUGGGGAAUAUUGGACAAUGGGCGAAAGCCUGAUCCAGCCAUGCCGCGUGUGUGAAGAAGGUCUUCGGAUUGUAAAGCACUUUAAGUUGGGAGGAAGGGCAGUAAGUUAAUACCUUGCUGUUUUGACGUUACCAACAGAAUAAGCA
rnacentral:rRNA from 1 species